CAAAGGAGGUCAAAUGCUUCUGUUGUGGUUUCCUGAAACGGUACCAUUAUCUCCAAAUCAGUAUCAAGGGAAACUGUUCUCGAUGUGAAGCAGCAACGACAUCAAUGGGCUGAGAUUUGGUCAGGGAACGGAGGAGGAGGGGGUGCGAGUGGAGCAGGAGAAGCCUUGUUAGCCCGGUCUGGUUCAUCGGCUCAGGCAUGAUGUGAUUGCAUCUGCCAUUGACUAUGUGAUUGAUGCGAGAACAUCUAUAUUCUUUGAAGCUAAGAGUGAUCAUCCUACCUCCAGCUGGGCUAAUUAAGGUGUCCGUGCCGACGACUUUGCUGUCUCGAACUAUAUCUGCAGGUUGAUAGAGUUGGAAAAUAUUCCCUCCUAUUGAUAGUGGCAAGGCAACCGUGCUGGUGGAUUAACCCCAUGUCCCGGGCUGCAUGGAAGAUCUAGGUCCCUGAGAGGCCGAGACUGCUUGAUCCAGUGGGCGAAUGACAUGGAUUUUUCCUUUGGAACGUGCACACACCAAUUGACCUCUGAAUAUCUCGUUCUUGUGAUACUUCUGGGCUCUUUGGCCCAUGCCUCUGGCGGUCGGCUAUCCUAGCAGCGUACAUUUUGUGUAUGGCCACUGUAAGAAUAAGCUGAGAGUUAUUUGUCUUGGCGUCUUACUUUAGUUCUUCCUUUCCAGCUGCUCCCUAUACUGCUAUCAUGGGAAACAAGGAAUCAGGUGACACCUCUUGUCUGGGUGGAAGUCCAAUUUGUAAAACAUUCAAGAAGGAACGGUAGAGAAGUGGGCGUGCAUCAAGGAGAGUGUCCGUUGCAGCUGUCACACAUUUCUUGAGAUGGAUGGUAGCGGCAGCGAGAAACAGAGGUGACAACACGCACGUCUGCCUCCGCCCCAACGUCUCUGUCGCUUGGACACCUCCGCACCGCCUCCAUCCUCCCGAUGGUGACUGUGAGGUGGCCUCACAACUGUCUUCUCUUCUCUAUUUCUAGGUUGUUAGAUCUAUCAUGUUAAUUUUGUGGUUUUUUAUUGUGUUUUCAUCCGAUGCAUCCAUGG